AUGGUUUACGGCCCCGUCAACGAUAGUAGGAAGGAUGACUUUCUAUUAGAAAUAGCUAGUACGACGCCAUCCACAAACGACCCUUGUCUCAUCAACGGUGAUUUCAACCUCAUAUACAAAGCUAGCGACAAGAACAAUAGCAACAUAAACCGUAGAAUGACGGGAAAAUUCCGGACAGCGAUCGACGCCGCGGGCCUCCGCGAGAUUAGAUGCAAAAAUCGUAGGUUUACUUGGAGAAAUGAGCACGAGGACCCAACCCUAGUCAAUAUCGACAAGUUUUUGUGCAACACUGCUUGGGACGUCCUUUUUCCGUCCUUCCUAAAGGAAAUAUGCCCUAGAGGCAAUAAUAAAGUUAUUAUUUAUUUCCUUAUUUCAUGA
rnacentral:rRNA from 1 species